AUGUUUAAAUGAUCGCUCGCUUCCUCCUCUACCUUCCCUUUGCAUACGAUACUGCUACUGUUCCUUCGGAUAUAGCAACAAAUGAAGAUGUGUGCUGCGUCUUGGUCUGCAUGCAUCUUUGGUGCUCUCUUGUUAGCCUCCACCGUGUCUGAAGGAUUACGACCAAACCCAUUAGAUGCUACAGCAGGCUCAAGCAAAAGAGAAAACCGAAGGAGAGAACGAGAUGAUCUGAUGUCUAAGGAGGAGAUUGCCGACGAUGGCGUUGGGGAGGGAGUCUACGCGACAACGGGGUCGAGCUUGCCCGACUGCUCGCACGCGUGCGGCCCGUGUUUCCCGUGCAAAAGGGUGAUGGUGAGCUUCAAGUGCUUCGUCGCCGAGUCCUGCCCUAUCGUCUACAGAUGCAUGUGCAAGGGGAAGUAUUACCAUGUUCCUUCCAACUGAUGCAGCUCCUCUAGGUCCAGCUUCAUGGACUUCCUUGUGUAGUCACAAUGGACAGCAAGAUUGACGUCUUCUACAGCUGUGUUAGUUUGGAAGGUGAGAGCGAAAGGGAAGAAGGGUGAGUAGGCUAGCAAUGUAGGUGGUGAUUUAUGUUCUUGAGUUGAGAUACCGAAGUCGAACUUGUUGCGUGUUGAUGUUCUUUCAUUCUGGUAUUUAUUAGCCCAGUAUUAGGAAUGGAUGAGAAGUAUUCAUCAUA